CCCUUAGAUGUUCUGGGCUGCACGCGCGCUACACUGAAGCGUUCAACGAGUAUUCACCUUGCCCGGGAGGGUUGGGUAAUCUUUUGAAAACGCUUCGUGAUGGGGAUAGAUUAUUGCAAUUAUUAAUCUUCAACGAGGAAUUCCUAGUAAGCGCGAGUCAUCAGCUCGCAUUGAUUACGUCCCUGCCCUUUGUACACACCGCCCGUCGCACCUACCGAUUGAAUGUUUCGGUGAAGAUUCCGGAUAGGACUUUUUUGAUUUAUUUCAAUUUUGUCUUAAAAGCUAUCUAAACCUCAACAUUUAGAGGAAGGUGAAGUCGUAACA
rnacentral:rRNA from 1 species